CCAGGUUAUCAUUGCAAGCCAUAGUAUACUUACAGGGACUGAAUGUCUAUUCACAGAACAAAAUUUUCAUUUGUCAAUGGCUAGUGGCAAAUGGAAAUUUUGCGUCCUUGUCUGGUACACUAUACAUAUCUGAUGGGAUUCAAACUAGUUGUAAAGGAACAUGCCAAAUUUAAAUAUAGAAUUAUUGAAGAAAAAAUUUGAUCACAG